CAGUAGCCACGGUAAUACGAAGGGUGCAAGCGUUAAUCGGAAUUACUGGGCGUAAAGCGCGCGUAGGUGGUUUGGUAAGAUGGAUGUGAAAUCCCCGGGCUCAACCUGGGAACUGCAUCCAUAACUGCCUGACUAGAGUACGGUAGAGGGUGGUGGAAUUUCCUGUGUAGCGGUGAAAUGCGUAGAUAUAGGAAGGAACACCAGUGGCGAAGGCGACCACCUGGACUGAUACUGACACUGAGGUGCGAAAGCGUGGGGAGCAAACAGGAUUAGAUACCCCAGUAGUCCCUGUCUCUUAUAC
rnacentral:rRNA from 1 species